UACAGAGGUCCCAAGCGUUGUUCGGAUUCAUUGGGCGUAAAGGGUGCGUAGGUGGCGCUGUAAGUCAGGUGUGAAAUUUCGGAGCUUAACUCCGAAACUGCAUUUGAUACUGCGGUGCUUGAGGACUGGAGAGGAGACUGGAAUUUACGGUGUAGCAGUGAAAUGCGUAGAGAUCGUAAGGAAGACCAGUGGCGAAGGCGGGUCUCGUGGACAGUUCCUGACACUGAGGCACGAAGGCCAGGGGAGCAAACGGG
rnacentral:rRNA from 1 species